GAGGGUGCAGCUCAGUGGUAGAGCACGUGCUUAGCACGCACGAGGUCAUGGGUUCAAUCCCCAGCGCCUCCA
rnacentral:tRNA from 1 species